AGUAACAGGGGUACUGUAAACCUAAAAUUUUUGGCGGUUUCUUAGCUGGUUAGAGGAACUUGUUUUGUAAUUGAUGAUCCUCAAUAGAUUUUACUUUUUUCUUAAAUACCGCCGUCGACGACAGGUCAAGGUUUAGUUAAUGGGAAAGAAAGAAGGUGGAUUUAAAAGUUGAUGGUGGAAAGCUGGGCUCUGAGAAAUGU
rnacentral:rRNA from 1 species